ensembl:lncRNA
UUUCAUCUGGCUUUAACUCGCUUUUCUUCCUGCAAUGGUCUCUUAAGUGCCAGACAGUUCCCUGAGCAGCAGUCCCUAUGAGAAUCACACCAAGCGACAGCAGUGUCCAGCAAACUGCUGGAUCAGAGUUCAGCACAGCAUCAGCUCUGGGCUCCGUAGGGAUACCUGUGGAUACCUGUAACAUAGCUCAAAGGUACUUAUGGAGUUCUGGUAAGUAAUUGCACCUGUUUCUGUGCCAAGAAGUUAUGAAAGUGAUGUGGGCUUAACCCUCUCAAGGGAAACCUUGUCUGAGUUUAACUUAGUUUUCACUCAGACAUGCAAUGUUAGUAAACGUUUUCUGAAAUGGCAAAGUUAACAUAGCUCUCUGACCUGUAGUAUGAGAAUAACACCAGGAAGGUGAGUACCUUGCAAGCAUAUCCAGCAAAACUGCUCAUUACAGGAUUAGUGCUGGAUCAGACUGAGUAUGGUCUGUGGCCACAUACUAAGCAAGAAACAUGCAAAUGCAUGUUGAAUAAACAGUGCUAGCUGAGCUUAAUAACCUGUAGAAGAAAUAUUAUCCUGUCAAGCAGUUAUUAUAAGAUAUAUAUGAGAUCAAUCUAAAUCAAGAGGGAACAGGCAAUUUUAAUUUAAGAAUUUUCGUAGAGUUUUUUCCUCUUUAUAGCCUUUCAAGUUUUGUUAAUGUGGUUUGAUUGAGUAAAUAAGCACUGAGUUUGGCUUUUUUGUGUUUGUUGUUGUUAGUGCAGUGGAAUAUGAAUGACAGGCUGAGCUGCAGCAUUUUGCUGCAAUUUCUCAGCACCCUUUAGAGCAAGCAAGCAAGUCCCUAACUACAACAUCUACAUGAUUUUUAAAUAUCUCCAGGGAUGCUGAUUCCACCACCUCUCUAGACAGCCUGUUCCAAUGCCUGGCCUUUCUUUUGGAGAAGACAUUUUUCCUAAUAUAUCUGGUACAACUUGAGGCCAUUCCCUCUCAUCCUAUCGCUGUUACA